rfam:Triticum aestivum genome assembly, contig: Triticum_aestivum_CS42_TGACv1_scaffold_221584_3B
GAUCUACUCCCUUCGUUCGGAAUUACUUGUCGCAGAAAUAGAUGUAUCUAGACGUAUUUUAGGUCUAGAUACAUCCAUUUCCGAGACAAGUAAUUCCGAACGGAGGGAGUAGUAC